ensembl:lncRNA
GUUUGAAGAUUAUCCAAAGUCUCGGAAAAUUAUAAUUCCAUUUUUGUAUUAAGUGUGUCAUCAUCAAGGAAAUGAUCUUCAAUUGGAAGUUUCAGUGUUCUUUCUCUGGGUGUCAGGCCUGACUUAAAGUCUCUCUAUGUUGUCCAGGCUGCCCUCAAGAUCACCAUCCUCCUGCUUCAGCCUCUCAAGUGCUGAGAUUAUUUGCAUGUGCAAUUCCACCCAGCUCUGUUAGGUUGCCACUCCCAAAUCAGUCAGCAUCUGAGAAGACUGGAGAGGAUAUGCGGAACAUGAAGUCACCUCGGCACCUUUCUUCUCCCUGAAACGGAGAGACAACAAAUCUGAUACAAAGCAGUUCAUGCCGCCAGAAGAACAGAAAUAGAAGAAGUACAAUGGACCACCAAAAAGACCAAAGCCACUGCACCUCAAGAACCUGUUUUAGCCUACCUGUGUGGAGCAACGCAGAGUUGUCUCACCCUCCAAUUGCCUGGUGUCUGCAUUGAGCUCCAAGAGCAGUCAGCGUGGAUGACUGCUAGAUAGGAUUCCUGGCACAUGACAAGAGAACUUGGUGGAUGAAGUCCAUGCAGUCAGCUCCUUCUCACCAGACAGAUCUCAGCCCAAAGGCCCCUCCUGAGAGCAGCCACCCUGGACUCCUCUCUGUCUCUGGUCCUCCCUCAUGUACCUCCUCUAACACAGUCUGAAACAACCUCUCUUAUUCAACAGGUUAUUCAUCUAAUGAAUGUAACCCUCGCACGGCACCAUGACCCCUGCCACUGCCACAUAAAAACAAGGACCUUGACCUUUUCAUUCCCACAGUAUGUAUUCAGGUGCCUCCUAUAGUGCCUGACACACUCAGGCAUGCCACACUGAUUUGUUGCAUAAAUGAACAAAAAACUAAACAAAUGAUAAAAUCACAAAAGAGUACAUACAGAAGCACGCAAAGGUAAAAAUCCUACGAGGACCAUCUUUCUCACAAGGUCUUGGCAAACAGCACAGUCCUUCUUUUCUUCACUCUUUCUCUCCUCUCAGCUCUACCACCUUCCCCACACUCUGACCACUGUCACAUCUUCCAGAUCCUACCUUUUUCCUCAAAAAUUUCACCCAUCUCCACAACAAGCUCAUCACUUUGUCCAUUCUUAGGGAAUUGAUCAAUGCCUUCAGUGUCUUCCAGGCAGGCACCAUGGCUUUCUUUGCUCUGUCUGAGCUGCUAGAGAGGGAAGUGGUCAGAGUAGAGUCCCACAAAUGAGGGUGAAUAUAACUGUCCCAACUCCAAUUGAGUCCCUGUCCACACAGCUGUUUCUCUGUACUAAGAGAUAAUUUUCCUGGCUCUGUAGAGUCCAAGCUCCUGUGUAGCGAAAGCUUCUCAUUUCUUUUGUGAGCAUGAUCUGUGCCAGACCUUUAAGAACAAUCCUUUCUUAUUCACCAUUCAACCUUGGUGCUAUUUCAAAAGACAGUACAUUUGACAUUCACUGUAUUUCUAAAGGAUGGCACCAGCUUCCCCAAGUCAGUUUCCCUAGCUCUCUGACUCUAGUUUUCUGAUAAAAGGUAAAGAGGGCCUGCUGGCCCAUUCUACCACUUGUAGCCAGUGUCAGGCCUCAGGACUAGAGUGUGCUGCUGCCUCGGUCCUUCCACUGACAUUGCAUGGUCAGUCUCCACUUUUGAAACUUUUUUUAUCUCUUCCAUGAUGUCUCAUUGCUGUGAGGACAAAAUGCAAUCCUCUGAGGAAUCUGGAUGCCUGCCUCUUCAGCCUUUUCUCACCUACGCCUCCAGCCAAGCUUUACCAAGCUUUUUUAAUUUCCUCAAAAGCAUUCAGUCUGAUUUCAUUUAGGAGCCAUUGCAAAGAGCAUCCACCUUACCUCAGCUGACUUUCUUCUCAUCCUUCAGAACUGUUU